GUCUAUGGCCACGUCACCCUGAGCGUAUCAAUCCCAUCUGAUCUCGGAAGCUCAGCAGGGAAGGGCCUGGUUAGUACUUGGAUGGGAGACCACCUACGAAUAUCAGGUACUGUAGGCA
rnacentral:rRNA from 1 species